AUUGAACGCUGGCGGCAUGCCUAACACAUGCAAGUCGAGCGGAGCGGCGGACGGGUGCGUAAUGCUUAGGAAUCUGCAUGGUAGUGGUGGAUAACGUACGGAAACGGGCGCUAAUACCGCAUACUAUCAGUUGAGUCUAGGUCGGAUUAGCUAGUGGGGGGGGUAAAGUCCUACCAAGGCGACGAUCGGUAACGGGUCUGAGAGGAGGAUCAGUCAAACUGGAACUGAGAAACGGUCCAGCCCCCUACGGGAGGCAGCAGUGGGGAAUAUUGGACAAUGGGCGAAAGCCUAAGACAGCACUGCCGCGGGUGGGAAGAGGGCCUUCGGGUGGUAAAGUAUUUUAAGCGGGGAGGCGUUACCCGCAUAAGAAGCAACGGCUAACUCCGUGCCAGCAGCCGCGGUAAUAC
rnacentral:rRNA from 1 species